GUUCUCCCAGUUUCAUCGUCCCCUGAUAUAGCCGCCGAGUUUCAGUUGCUCCAUAAACGUGUUUGGGACAGCUUCGUGCGGAACUAUCUGACUGCGGACUAAAACCAGUGCGGUGGCUGCACGCUUAGAUAUUUCAAAACUUUUUUUUACAUUCUUUUUUUCUUCUCUUCCUUUGAUUCCAACGUCCAAACGCCGGAAGGUGUUGGCUCUUUGCCAAACGGUAAGGAAAUGAACGUGAAAUGACUGAACGUUGGAUGCGUUCUAGUAUUUCACACCGUCAGAAUCACCGCGAUAGCAAGAGCGAACGGUUCUUAGAUUUCAAUUAGCGCAAUUAAUGUUAUGCAAUGAUUCGCGCGCGGAAUGAAUGAUCUGUAAAAUCGGUAGAAAAAUGUACUAACGGAAGAGUAGAACGAAAAAAAAAGAGAAAGAAAAGUAAAGAGAGAGAGAGAGAGAGAGAGUAGGAACGAAGUAAUGAUCAGUAAGGAAUCUAUUGUACACGGUGUCUUCGACGUGUUUGACAACGGCUUACACCCAUUACCAGUUUACGAUCAUUAUUGACUGUAUGUAACGACGCACGUAUUGUACGAACUAAUGUUUGUGUGAGGCUAUUUAAAACUAUUACUCUUCAAACUUCGACUCCGAUAUAAACAAUAUGUCGGACAGCGAGGAUGCAGGAAGUGAUGGGAGCCAACAACGAUUGCACCGUCCGAGUCUCUCGAGAAAAAUGCGGAGGAGCAUCAGGAAGGUCAAGAAAAGCAUCCAAAAAAUGACAGUGGCUUGCAGUGGACGAUGGCGAGGAGGAAACCAAGCCAAUCCAUGUGGUACCGGAACGAUUGGCAGCCCUGUCGAUCCGCACUGGUUUUUCAAGGAAUGAGAUCUGCAAGAUUUACAGAGCUUUCAAGCAGCAUUGUCCGGGCGGUGCUGCGACCCCAAACGACCUAAGGCCGGCUUACGCGAAGCUUUUUCCACUUGGAGAUUCCACUAAGUACGCUCAAGUAGUAUUCAACACCUUCGAUACGAACAAAGACGGUCUCGUGAGCUUCGGCGACUUUUUGACUGGCCUGUCUCUGAUCGUGAAAGGAACCGCCGAGGAGAAGUUGUCCUGGAUUUUCGGAUUGUACGACAUGAACGGCGAUGGUCACAUAACGAGGCACGAAAUGUUGUUCAUAGUAUCGGCGAUUUACGAGAUGGUGCGAACAAGUCAAACUAUACAACGCGCGGUGAACAGACACGUUGAUAGACUUUUUGAGAAAAUGGAUCUGAACAAGGAUGGCGUGAUAUCUCGGGAGGAGUUUAUGACGUCAUGUAUGAAUGACCAAAGUAUAUGCACGCAGCUGACGGUCUUCGACGAUCUUUGGUAACAUCAUCGAUGAGACGUUUGUUUAAUAUGCAAUAAUGUACUCGAUGCUCGUUUGCAGAUUGCUAUAAAACAUAUUUAUUCACUUAACACCGG